rnacentral:lncRNA from 1 species
AAGAAUUUCCUAUGGAGAGCUUGUCGUAAUUGUCUGCCCACAAGAAUCCGAUUGCAAUCAAAAGGAGUUCAGUGUACUGAUAGGUGUGCAAUGUGUGAUUAUUUUGGCAAGGAUAGUACCCAUCUGUUCUUUACGUGGGAUAAAAGCAAGAUUUGUUGGCAGCGGAGUGGAUUAUGAAGUCUUUUGAUGGCUGUUUUUGAUAUUGAUGCAAG